CCCCUCUCAGGAUUGCACCUGGAGAAUUUCCAGUACUCUACCAGUUUUGACAAAGAGAGGAAGAGUCAAGCAGAGGCAUACCCAUUCCAUUCCUAGCUUGGACAGUGGUUAGCAAGUGGAAGACAAUCUGCUAUAUGU